rnacentral:rRNA from 1 species
UACGGAGGGAGCUAGCGUUGUUCGGAAUUACUGGGCGUAAAGCGCGCGUAGGCGGCUUUGUAAGUUAGAGGUGAAAGCCCGGGGCUCAACCCCGGAAUUGCCUUUAAGACUGCAUCGCUUGAAUCCGGGAGAGGUGAGUGGAAUUCCGAGUGUAGAGGUGAAAUUCGUAGAUAUUAGGAAGAACACCAGUGGCGAAGGCGGCUCACUGGCUCGGUACUGACGCUGAGGCGCGAAAGCGUGGGGAGCAAACAGG